UACAGCCACAGCUUGUUGAAACACCAGUCCCUGUAUGAUUGCCACAGUUAAGCAAUGUCAAGCCUGGUCAGUACUUAGAUGGGUAACCACUUGAGAACACCAGGUGUG